UACGUAGGGGGCAAGCGUUGUCCGGAUUUAUUGGGCGUAAAGAGCGUGUAGGCGGCCUGGAAGGUCAGCUGUGAAAACUCGAGGCUCAACCUCGAGACGUCGGUUGAAACCACCUGGCUAGAGUCCGGAAGAGGAGAGUGGAAUUCCCGGUGUAGCGGUGAAAUGCGCAGAUAUCGGGAAGAACACCCGUGGCGAAGGCAGCACUCUGGGCCGGUACUGACGCUGAGGAGCGAAAGCAUGGGGAGCGAACAGG
rnacentral:rRNA from 1 species